CAUCCAGACUCCUACGGGAGGCAGCAGUGGGGAAUAUUGCACAAUGGGGGGAACCCUGAUGCAGCGACGCCGCGUGAGUGAAGAAGUAUUUCGGUCUGUAAAGCUCUAUCAGCAGGGAAGAAGAUGACGGUACCUGACUAAGAAGCCCCGGCUAACUACGUGCCAGCAGCCGCGGUAAUACGUAGGGGGCAAGCGUUAUCCGGAUUUACUGGGUGUAAAGGGAGCGUAGACGGCAGGGCAAGUCUGGAGUGAAAGCCCGGGGCCCAACCCCGGGACUGCUUUGGAAACUGUAUAACUGGAGUGCAGGAGAGGUAAGUGGAAUUCCUAGUGUAGCGGUGAAAUGCGUAGAUAUUAGGAGGAACACCAGUGGCGAAGGCGGCUUACUGGACUGUAACUGACGUUGAGGCUCGAAAGCGUGGGGAGCAAACAGGAUUAGAUACCCUGGUA
rnacentral:rRNA from 1 species